UACGUAGGGGGCAAGCGUUGUCCGGAUUUAUUGGGCGUAAAGAGCGUGUAGGCGGCCAGAUAGGUCAGCUGUGAAAACUCGAGGCUCAACCUCGAGACGUCGGUUGAAACCAUCUGGCUAGAGUCCGGAAGAGGAGAGUGGAAUUCCCGGUGUAGCGGUGAAAUGCGCAGAUAUCGGGAAGAACACCCGUGGCGAAGGCGGCUCUCUGGGACGGUACUGACGCUGAGGCGCGACAGCGUGGGGAGCAAACAGG
rnacentral:rRNA from 1 species